UGAUCGUAUACAUUUCCAUAAUGAUAUCAAAAUAACAUGACCUAAUGAAAUAACAAGCUAAUAACAACAUUGAAUUACUGUUGCUAAUUCCAAUAGGGAGCAGGAAUUACUCGUGACAGCUAAAUCGAAUUUGCAGUUCUUUGAAGCUUUUCCCAAAUUUCACGGACCGAACAUAAACUACAACUUCCAGGAAACAUCGCAAUAUCGGCGCCUGCGCGUACUGACGACGUCCCGCAACAUUUACACUACAACUCCCAUGGCACAUCGCAACGACGCGCGUGCGCACUCACUUUGUCAUUAAUUGACGGCGCUGCUUUUCCAAUCGGACCGAACACUGCUAACGGACAGAUUACUUUGUCCAACCGGCGCAGGAACAGCAAAGACGCAGCAGCCAAUGGGAGAAGAAAGGGGCGGGGAAUAAUCGCAGUUGGGGGUGGGGCACGGUUUGUUUUCCUUCUCAAGUUCGGUUGGCCGGCGCGCAGGCGAGGACGAGAAACAUGAAGGCGCCGCGAAAGCGAAGCCAUGUCAAGGGGGAAGAAACGGCGAAUAAAAACCACAAAGCCCUUAAAUAACUACCCGUUCACCUCAGAAACAGCACAAGAGACGCUUUAAAGUUACCGAAGAUGUAUCUCGCGCCAAUUCGGGCUAUUUUCCUACCAGUUUAGCUCAUUUAUUCACACUCCCCCAUCUCCAGUCACCGAAGGCCUCUUGUUUUUUAUUCGAACGAGGCGAUUUUUCCCUCCUCUCUCUCGCAUCUUCUGGAAUUUUCUCGACAGUUCCCCCCUCAGGGGCAGAGUCAGAGUCUUAAAAAGCGGCGGAGGUGGGGCGCGAGAGCAUGUGAGCAGCAGAGGAACGUCCAGCAUUUUAGCGAGUCGCUACCAGGCAGGACAAAGGGUAUAUGGCAAUGUUCAUAAACGUGCUUUAGGAAAGGAUACGAGUGUCUUUUUACAAUCAGUCAGCUUUUGUGUGGAGUUUUGUGGCGACCCACUUCCUAGCACACUCGAACCAGCUCACAAGUAGCCAGCGUGCCGGCACAAAGGCCAGUCCCAAAAGGGCGCCAGGUCUGCUUCACCAACAAAGGGAAAAGCCUGCGUGGGACUGUGAGUACGUGCCCCCUACAGCAUCCGCGCCCAGGGAGGCUUUAAAGCGAAGCCACGAAGUUCGAAUAAAAUCUUCUUUAACUGCAGCUUACCGACUCCGUGUCGUUAUUUCAGCACUGCGUGUAGCACUCCGCUACAGUUUUUCCAUUAAUACUAUUGUAUUUCUUUGUUCUACUGUGAGUAUCUGAAGUCUGACGGCACACACUCAACAAUUCAGGAACAGCUUUGUCCCCUCUGCCAUCCAAUUUCUUAAUGGAAAUUGAACCUAUGAACACCAGCUCCCUACUUAUUUCUGUUUUGCACUAUUAAACUAUUCAAAUAUACAUAUACACACACACAGAUGAUAAACACUGAACUUUACAAUCUUUCCUCAACCCCAAUUUUCUAUCCACACAUCUCCUCUCACCGUAUCUUUUCACUAAUGUGACCUGCAACUUCACCUAUAAAAAGCUCUACCAAAAUCUCCAUGGUCAUUGUACACCUGAAGGUAAAAUACAAAUACACUUUGACAGAAAAAAUCUUCAGUGUGCACUACUUAUUUCUGCGCUGUGACAUUGCAUAAAAAUCAAAACUACACUAUUGGGUUCUUUUCCUUCAGAGUCAGAGCACUAUGGAACAGAACCAGACCCUUCAGCCCAUGUCUACUCCUAUUGACCUGCACCGGGACUAUACCCUCCAUUCCCCUUCCAUCCAUGAACCUAUCCAAAUUUCUCAAGUGUUGAAACAACCUGCAUCCAUCACUUCUACUUGUAACUCAUUCCACACUCUCACUAUCAUGAGUGAAGUUCUCCCUCAUGUUCCCUCUAAACAUUUUGCCUUUUGCACUUAACUCAUGACCUCUAGCUCAAAGUAUAUUAUUGAAAUACAUAAACUGCAUGUCACCAUAUACAACCCCAAGAUUCAUUUUCUUGUGGGCUUACUCAACAAAUCUAUAGAGUAACUAUAGCACAAUCAAUUAAAGGCCACCCAAUUAGGGCAUUCAAUCAGAGUGCAGAAGACAACAAACUACAAAUACAAAAGGAAAUAAUAAAUAAAUAAUAUCAAGAAGAUGCGAUUAAGUCCUUGAAAAUGAGUCCAUUGGUUAGCUUGUAAUUAUGUCAGCAGUGGGAAAACGAUCCCUCAUUUCUAGAUCUCGUUAUGGAAUAUUCAGUGUCACUUGAUCCCACCACUUUGAAAUGGUCCAACACUACUUGGCUUUAUUAACUUGGUGUGCACUGGGAUGCAUCAUCAGUAAUGUAACCCUGGGGUCUUUAAGCAUUAGACAUCCUUGCCUAGGCAACCCAGCCAGGGAUGAUCAAGUUCAGCUUGUGUUUUUGCCAUGGACCAAGAUAAUGAAAAGAGUGUCACUUCAAGGGUUAAGGCAUUGUAUACCUUGUUAUUAGGUUUUAUUUGACCAUUUGAGAAUUGAUUAUGUUUUGAGGCUUAGCUAUUAGGCUUCAUCUCAAAGCAAAAAGAAAAAAAACCAUAAGUGAACUUUGUUGCAUGUUUUAUGAAUUGGCCAGGAAAACAUUAUACAAAUAACUAUUUUACCCCUAGUUCAAGGACCGCAAAUAACAUGGAUGUUGACUGUAAGAAGCAUCUUAGUAACAACC